rnacentral:lncRNA from 1 species
GCUGCAAGGAAGGCUGGGAAAUGUCUUUAUUUUGUACAAUCAGUAAAAACUGAGAUUCUAUCAAUAAAGAAGGAGGGCAGACAUUGGAGAAAAACUAGUAGACUUUCCAACAUAUUCCUGAAAAAUUUUAAAUUUCAGAAGGGGCUAUAGGUGGGCCAGGCAGGAAAGAAUCAUUAUCUCACCCAAAGAAUGACAUCGGGCUUCAAGUAUCUAAGCCACCAUCAAAAAGGCUGGUGCUCUUCCAGGUUUUUCUUUAAAGGGCAUCUGUCAGGCUGGGGAGAACACUUCUCUAGGUGGCCUUGAGCCAGUAUUAUUGGCCCACUCAAUCAGAGCUGCCCUGCAGCCUCGUUAGCACAUCACAAGAACCCAGAGUGGAAUUCUGGGAUGGAAGAGCUGGACAGAAAGUGGAGAGAGAAGGUCCUCCCAGCGGCAAAGCUAAUUAAAAGGAGAAACCUGUUUUCCACAUGCACUCCUCAAUAUGCACACAUGCUGCUUUCUUGUCAUUACAUGCCUCACUUGUCACCAAAGCAUUUUCAAUCAAUUCCUGGGUGUUGUUCUUGUAUCUUUAGAUUUAGCGCAUUCUUUCUUUAGUGCUCCUCCCUUUUAUUCAUCCAGCUGCUUAGAACAGUUUUCUUCAGCAUUUAAACAAACCCACAUACAUUCCCCUCCCCCCAUUUUCUUUUUUAAACAAAGCAAAUGCUGCUUUCUUUUAACCGAAAUAAAAGAGCCAUAGACAAUUCCAUCUUUUAGGUCCACAUGGCAGAUCUCAAGUCAAGCAUUCAUUUUCUACCUGUGUGGAACUUUAAUUAGUUUAAGUGGGAGGUCUGUGCCAAGAAACAGGCACCACAUCACAGUUGGAAUCUGCAGAGCAGAUUGUUUUCUCUUAAUAAUGCUCUUUCAAACUCAAUCCCGCUUGCAGUUUUGAUACCAAAAACAUGUGUGUUAAACAGCUACGAGUCGUUUCCGGGUCAUUCGCAUUAACCAUGAGCUCUCCUGACAGUCUUGACCCAUAACAGCAGACCUCUGUGUUUGAAGUGCUGUAUAAUUUACAAAGGACUGCACACACAUCGUCACAUGUCAGCUGCACACUUAGCCUGCUAGGAAAUAAUAUCGCCCCCAUUUUGGUGAUGAAAAAAUUGAGUCGUGGAAUGGUUAAGUGACAGAAUGAACUGAAACUGGAUCCAGUCUGUCUGUGUUGCUAAUGUAAGAUGUUAAAGAACU